UACAGAGGUCUCAAGCGUUGUUCGGAUUCAUUGGGCGUGAAGGGCGCGUAGGCUGCGGGGCAAGUCGGGUGUGAAAUCUCAGAGCUCAACUCUGAAACUGCACUCGAUACUGCUUUGCUCGAGGACUGGAGAGGAGAUUGGAAUUCACGGUGUAGCAGUGAAAUGCGUAGAUAUCGUGAGGAAGACCAGUGGCGAAGGCGGAUCUCUGGACAGUUCCUGACACUGAGACACGAAGGCCAGGGGAGCAAACGGG
rnacentral:rRNA from 1 species